rnacentral:sRNA from 1 species
AGCUUUUGAUACUUGGUUGGGUUGCUGCUGGUUCUUUGGAACAUGUGCACACCUGACGCCAUUUUUACCACCUGUGCACCUUUUGUAGACCUGGAUAUCUCUCGAGGAAACUCGGUUUGGGGACUGCUGCGCGCAAGCCAGCUUUCCUUACAUUUCCGGUCUAUGUUUUUAUAUACCCUAUCAGAAUGUAACAGAAUGUCAUUAACAGGCCUUGGUGCCUUUAAAUAACAUACAACUUUCAACAACGGAUCUCUUGGCUCUCGCAUCGAUGAAGAACGCAGCGAAAUGCGAUAAGUAAUGUGAAUUGCAGAAUUCAGUGAAUCAUCGAAUCUUUGAACGCACCUUGCGCUCCUUGGUAUUCCGAGGAGCAUGCCUGUUUGAGUGUCAUUGAAUUCUCAACCUUCCUGGCUUUUGUUAGUCUGUUAGGCUUGGAUGUGGGAGUUGCGGGUUUCUCAGAAGUCAGCUCUCCUUAAAUGCAUUAGCGAAACCUUUGUUGACCAUCUCUGGUGUGAUAAUUAUCUACGCCAUUGGGAAGCAGCUUUACAAAUUGGUUGAGCUUCUAACCGUCUUUUGGGACAAUUUCUUGACAUUUGACCUCAAAUCAGGUAGGACUACCCGCUGAACUUAAGCAUAUCAAUAACCGGGAGGAA